UACGAGGGGUGCAAACGUUAUUCGGAAUCACUGGGCGUAAAGGGUGCGUAGACGGCGAAUCAAGUCAAUUAUUAAAUCUCCUAGCUUAACUAGGAAUCUGUAAUUGAGACUGAUUUGCUUGAGGAUGGAAGAGAGAAGUGGAAUUCUCGGAGUAGCGGUAAAAUGCGUAGAUCUCGAGAGGAACACCGAUGGCGAAGGCAGCUUCUUGGUCCAUUUCUGACGUUGAGGCACGAAAGCGUGGGGAGCAAACAGG
rnacentral:rRNA from 1 species